AGGCAUCGAUGAAGGGCGCAGCGAAGUGUGCCAAGGUACAGAGCA
rnacentral:rRNA from 1 species